UUUUUUUUUUUUUUUUUUUUUUAAUUUGAGUCUUUAGGUAUUAUCUUAGGGUUUCCAUCACUGUGAAGAGAUACCAUGACCAAGGCAACUCUUAUAAAGGGCAACAUUUCACUGGGGCUGGCUUACAGCUGUGGAGAUCUGGUGCAUUAUCAUCAUGAUGGGGAGCAGGCAGACACAGUGCUGAAGAAAGAGCUGAGAUUUCUACAUCUUAAUCCAAAGGCAGCCUGGAAGAGUUUGUCUUUCGGGCAGCCAAGAGGAGGGUCUCAAAGCUACCAGCAAAAGGACACACUUCCUCCAACAAGGGCACACCUACACCAACAAGGGCACACCUACUCCAACAAGACUACACCUCCUAAUAGUGACACUCCCUGGGCCAACCAUUUUCAAACCACCACAGGUAUAUGGUGUUCAUUUUAUAGAUACAUAUAAGAAUAUAUAGAAUCACUCAAAUGAUUAAGAUAUAUAUAUAUAUAUAUAUAUGUGUGUGUGUGUGUGUGUGUGUGUGUGUGUAUGGCACAUGAAAUAUCUGUACUGUUUUCUAGCCAAUUGUUUCAGAACUAAGAAUUCAGCCAGAUAUGGUGGCACAUACCUUUAAUCUCAGCACUCAGCAGGCAGAAGCAGGCAGAUUGCUCUUAGUUAAGGCCAGCCUGGUCACCUGGUCUAUAUAGUAUGACUCUUGUUUUAAAAAGUUAAGGGAAAGAUAGUGACAAUUAUCAUUCAGAUGGCAGAAUGAAGAAGUGUGGUGUGGCUAGUUCCCAGUCAAAUCCCGAGGUGGCUUCUGCCUCAUCCGAUGCUGUCUUUCCCAUCUUCGUACAUCCUUGAGAUUCCCUUCAUCUAUGAUGCUUAUGACUAAAGAAUGCCAUUUUACAGGUGAGUCUAUAAGUCUAUAUUUUAAAAAGAGAGUCAAGAUUUAUUUUAGCUCACGGUUUUGAAGUUUUCACCCAUGGUUCUUAGCUCCAAUGAUUCUGGGCCUGUCUUGAGCCCAACACCACUGUCCGUGGAUACCUGAAUCACAGUGUACAUGCAUCAUGGGAGAAUAGGCAGCAGAGACUGAGGAGGGGGUAGAGUCCAGGUGUAACACCAUGGUCCCUGAGCGAUUCACUCCAACUUGGCUCAACCUCCUGAAAUUCUCUUGGCCUGUCAACAUACUACCAUUGACAGCAGAGAACAUAUUGAAUGGACGGUCCUGUGAGGGACAUUCCCAGUUCUUUAUUUUAUUCACAUCCCUCAUAGAUAGGAAUAGGUACCUGGGAAGAAGUUAAGAAACUGGAAAGUUGAUUCUGGAAUGAUGCUAUGUGUAUCCUGUCAUGAGAACCCAGUGCAAUGACUGAAUGUCAAGAGAUGUUAGCCGGGCAUGGCGGUUUGAGUCUGAGGUCUCAGCACUCUGAAGGUGGAGGCAGAAGGACUAGGAGGCCAUACUCAUUCUUGGCUACAAGCUUGAGGGCAGCCGGGGCUACUGUCUUAAAGAUCCCAACCAAGAAAAACAAUUGAUGUGGGCAAGGAUUGGACUCUAUCCCUUACUGCGUGGCCUCGGAGAAUUUCAGAUUCUCUCCUUAGAUCAGCCUCCUCCUUUGAGAACCUGAGAGGCAUCACUGACAUUUCAAGAUCCUUGUGAAUAUUAAAUGACAUCUCUGACCACAAGUGCCCAAAAUGGUACCUGUCAGUCACAAACCUUUCGUCCUUCUUCCCAGAACCUAAACCAUUUAGGAAUGAAUUUACUGUGAGAUUUGUGAGAUUGUCCAUUUUGGUUUGUGUGCUACAAUCAAAGAAUUUUCCAGGAUUUUUAAAAAAGAUUAUUUAUGUAUUAUAUUUAUGUAUAUGUAUAUUUUCCUGCUUGGAUUUAUAUCAACCAGUUAUGUUCCAGAGUACAUAGAGGCUUGAAGUUACAGGCAGUUAGAAACUACCAUAUGGGAGCUGGGGACAGAAAAUGGGUUCUCUGUGAGAGCACUAAGAAUUCU
rnacentral:lncRNA from 1 species